rnacentral:rRNA from 1 species
UACGUAGGUGGCGAGCGUUGUCCGGAUUUACUGGGCGUAAAGAGCGCGCAGGCGGUCAAGUAAGUCGAAUGUGAAAGCCCCCGGCUCAACUGGGGAGGGUCAUUCGAUACUGCUCGACUCGAAGGCAGGAGAGGGAAGUGGAAUUCCCGGUGUAGUGGUGAAAUGCGUAGAUAUCGGGAGGAACACCAGUGGCGAAGGCGACUACCUGGCCUGUUCUUGACGCUGAGGCGCGAAAGCUAGGGGAGCAAACGGG